rnacentral:rRNA from 1 species
UACGGGGGGGGCAAGCGUUGUUCGGAAUUACUGGGCGUAAAGGGCGCGUAGGCGGCCAUCUAAGUCAGCCGUGAAAUCCCCCGGCUUAACCUGGGAACUGCGUCUGAUACUGGAAGGCUCGAGUUUGGGAGAGGGAUGUGGAAUUCCAGGUGUAGCGGUGAAAUGCGUAGAUAUCAGGAGGAACACCGGUGGCGAAGGCGGCUACCUGGACGACAACUGACGCUGAGACGCGAAAGCGUGGGGAGCAAACAGG